AACGCACCUUGCACCCUCUGGUAUUCCGGAGGGUAUGCCCGGUUGAGUAUUAUGAUCAACUCAAGCCUCUGGUUUCUAAUUGCAAAGGUCUUACGUUCGACGAACCCGUCUAUUAGGGACAACGGUAGUCGACGCUUGACUUGGAAACUCGGACUGGCAUUGGACUUGAGCGCAUGUCGGUUGUGUUAACGAUCGACUCGCUUGAAAUGCAUUAGCUGGCGACCCGCCUUACGGUUCCACUCGACGUAGUAAGCAUUAUUCGUUGAGGACACCCCUCUUGAUUGAAGGGUGGCCGACAGGUGUUUGGUAUCGAAGCCGCUUCUAAUCGUCUUAGGACAAACUCUAUUGAACGAUUGAUCUCAACUCGGGUAGGACUACCCGCUGAACUUAA
rnacentral:misc_RNA from 1 species